GACGAACGCUGGCGGCGUGCUUAACACAUGCAAGUCGAACGGAAAGGCCCCUUUGGGGGUACUCGAGUUGCGAACGGGUUGGUAACACGUGCGUAACCUGCCCUUGACUUCGGGAUAACUUCAGGAAACUGGGGCUAAUACCGGAUAGGAAUCCUUGCUGCAUGGUGGGGGUUGGAAAGCUUCGGCGGUUUUGGAUGGACUCGCGGCUUAUCAGCUUGUUCGUGGGGUAGUGGCUUACCAAGGCUUUGACGGGUAGCCGGCCUGAGAGGGCGACCGGCCACAUUGGGACUGAGACACGGCCCAGACUCCUACGGGAGGGAGCAGUGGCGAAGAUUGCACAAUGGGCGGAAGCCUGAUGCAGCAACGCCGCGGGCGGGAUGACGGCCUUCGGGUUGUAAACCGCUUUCAGCAGGGGCGAAGCUUGUGGUGACGGUACCUGCAGAAGAAGCACCGGCUAACUACGUG
rnacentral:rRNA from 1 species